rnacentral:rRNA from 1 species
AUUGAACGCUGGCGGCAUGCCUUACACAUGCAAGUCGAACGGCGGCACGGGGCAACCUGGUGGCGAGUGGCGAACGGGUGAGUAAUGCAUCGGAACGUACCUUUCAGUGGGGGAUAACGUAGCGAAAGUUACGCUAAUACCGCAUAUUCUGUGAGCAGGAAAGCAGGGGAUCGCAAGACCUUGCGCUGAUUGAGCGGCCGAUGUCAGAUUAGCUAGUUGGUGAGGUAAAGGCGCACCAAGGCGACGAUCUGUAGCGGGUCUGAGAGGAUGAUCCGCCACACUGGAACUGAGACACGGUCCAGACUCCUACGGGAGGCAGCAGUGGGGAAUUUUGGACAAUGGGGGCAACCCUGAUCCAGCCAUGCCGCGUGAGUGAAGAAGGCCUUCGGGUUGUAAAGCUCUUUCGGCCGGGAAGAAAUCGCACGGGCUAAUACCCUGUGUGGAUGACGGUACCGGAAUAAGAAGCACCGGCUAACUACGUGCCAGCCGCCGCCGUAAGAC